rnacentral:rRNA from 1 species
CCUACGGGCGGCAGCAGUGGGGAAUAUUGGGCAAGGGGCGCAAGCCUGACCCAGCAACGCCGCGUGAAGGAAGAAGGCUCUCGGGUUGUAAACUUCUUUUAUCAGGGACGAAGCAAGUGACGGUCCCUGAUGAAUAAGCCACGGCUAACUACGUGACAGCAUCCGCGGUAAUACGUAGGUGGCAAGCGUUAUCCGGAUUUACUGGGUGUAAAGGGCGUGUAGGCGGGAAAGCAAGUCAGAUGUUAAAACCAGGGGCUCAACCUGUGGCCUGCCUUUGAAACUGUUUUUCGUGAGUACUGGAGAGGCUGACGGAAUUCCUAGUGUAGCGGUGAAAUGCGUAGAUAUUAGGAGGAACACCAGUGGCGAAGGCGGUCUGCUGGACAGCAACUGACGCUGAGGCGCGAAAGCGUGGGGAGCAAACAGGAUUAGAUACCCUGGUAGUC